AUGCCCCGGUGUGCCCAGGACGCCCCCACAAAAAUGAGCCAUGGACCCCAAAUGUCAGUAGUGGUGGCGCGCAGGUCCCCCCUUAGCCUCAGCAGGGGAGAUCGUGUCCGUCUACCGCCCUGCCUACCUGCUCACCCGUCUCCGUGCCGCAGGGUUCGCGGCCACACUCUUCCGCCUCCCGGGGGAACCCCUGCCCCGACGCCCCGCCCGCCACCACCGCCAUCUCCGCUCCCCCUACCUCCUCCCUCCUCCCUGAGAGCCCCCCCGCCGUCUCCGCUCCCCCCGCCUCCUCCCGGGCACCUCCCAGGGGAGCCCCACCUCCGCCCUCCCACCUCCUCCCGGGGACCCCCGUCUCCGCCCCCCCACGUCUUCCCGGGGACCCCCGUCUCCGCUCCCCCGCCUCCUCCCGGGGACCCCCCUGCCGUCUGCGCUCCCCCCACCUCCUCCCGGGGACCUCCCAGGGGAGCCCCAUCUCUGCUCUCUGCACCCCCUCCCUGGGACCCCCGAUCUCCGCUCCCUGCACAGCCCAGCGACCUCCAUCUCCAGUCCCCACACGUCUUCCCGGGGACCCCUGUCUCCGCUCCCCACCCCUUCCCGGGACCCUCCCAGGCGACCCCCACAUCUCCGCUCGUCCCACCUCCUCCCAGGGACCCUCCCCCGCCCCCCCCCCCGUCUCCGCCCCCCCAACGCCCUCCUGAGUACUCCGUCUCCGCUCCCCCCGACUCCUCCGGGGGACCCCCGUCUCCGCCCCCCCCACGUCUUCCCGGGGACCCGUAUCCGCCCCCCCGCCUCCUCCCGGGGACCCCCGUCUCCGCCCCGCCCACGUCUUCCCGGGGACCCCCGUUUCCGGCCCCCACGUCUUCCCGGGGACCCCCAGUCUCUGCCCCCCCCACGUCUUCCCCGGGACCCCCGUUUCCGGCCCCCACGUCUUCCCGGGGACCCCCAGUCUCUGCCCCCCCCACGUCUUCCCCGGGACCCCCGUCUCCGCCCCCCACGUCUUCCCGGGGACCCCCAGUCUCUGCCCCCCCCCCGCCUCCACCCGGGGACCCCCGUCUCCGCCCCCCACGUCUUCCCGGGGACCUCCCAGGGGAGCCCCACCUCCGCCCCCCCACCUCCUCCCGGGGACCCCCGUCUCCGCCCCCCCACGUCUUCCUGGGGACCCCCGUCUCCGCUCCCCCGCCUCCUCCCGGGGACCCCCCUCCCGUCUCCGCCCCCCCACGUCUUCCCGGGUCCCCCAGUCUCCACGCUCGCCCCCGCACGGCCCACCAGGCCCCCCGGACGGGUGCUCCCGAGGCCGCCCACAAGGACCCCCACCGUCCCCGCGGCGCCGCGGGCUCUGGGGCGCGGCGCGGAGAGGACGCGCAGCCUCAGUAG
rnacentral:lncRNA from 1 species